AGAGUCUCCUCAGACGCCGAGAUGCGGAUCAUGGCGCCCCGAACCCUCCUCCUGCUGCUCUCGGCGGCCCUGGCCCUGACCGAGACCUGGGCCGGCUCCCACUCCAUGAAGUAUUUCUACACGGGCAUGUCCCGGCCCGGCCGCGGGGAGCCCCGCUUCAUCUCCGUGGGCUACGUGGACGACACGCAGUUCGUGUGGUUCGACAGCGACGCCGCGAGUCCGAGAGAGGAGCCGCGGGCGCCAUGGAUAGAGCAGGAGGGGCCGGAGUAUUGGGACCGGAACACACAGAUCUGCAAGACCAACACACAGACUUACCGAGAGGGCCUGCGGAUCCUGCGCGGCUACUACAACCAGAGCGAGGACGGUGAGUGACCCCGGCCCGGGGCGCAGGUCACGACCCCUCAUCCCCCACGGACGGCCGGGGUCGCCCCGAGUCUCCGAGUCGGAGAUCCGCCCCGAGGCCGCGGGACCCGCCCAGACCCUCGACCGGAGAGAGCCCCAGGCGCCUUUACCCGGUUUCAUUUUCAGUUGAGGCCAAAAUCCCCGCGGGUUGGUCGGGGCGGGGCGGGGCUCGGGGGACUGGGCUGACCGCGGGGACGGGGCCAGGGUCUCACACCUGGCAGAGGAUGUAUGGCUGCGACGUGGGGCCCGACGGGCGCCUCCUCCGCGGGUAUGACCAGUUCGCCUACGACGGCAAGGAUUACAUCGCCCUGAACGAGGACCUGAGCUCCUGGACCGCCGCGGACACCGCGGCUCAGAUCACCCAGCGCAAGUGGGAGGCGGCCCGUUGGGCGGAGCAGUUCAGAGCCUACCUGGAGGGCCGGUGCGUGGAGUCGCUCCGCAGAUACCUGGAGAACGGGAAGGAGACGCUGCAGCGCGCGGAGCCCCCAAGGACACACAUGACCCACCAUCCCAUCUCUGACCAUGAGACUACCCUGAGGUGCUGGGCCCUGGGCUUCUACCCUGCGGAGAUCACACUGACCUGGCAGCGGGAUAGGGAGGACCUGACCCAGGACACCGAGCUUGUGGAGACCAGGCCAGCAGGCGAUGGAACCUUCCAGAAGUGGGCAGCUGUGGUGGUGCC
rnacentral:sRNA from 1 species